rnacentral:rRNA from 1 species
CUAUACAUGACUCUGCGCAUAUCAAUAAGCGGAGGAAAAGAAACUAACAAGGAUUCCCUUAGUAACGGCGAGUGAAGCGGGAAGAGCUCAAAUUUGAAAUCUUAAAGGGUUUCCCUUUACGAAUUGUAGUUUAAAGAAGUGUUUUCUGUUGAAGUUUUGGUAAAAGUUCUUUGGAAUAGGACAUCAUAGAGGGUGAGAAUCCCGUAUUUGACCUUUACUUUCAACUUUGUGAUACACUUUCAAAGAGUCGGAUUGUUUGGGAAUGCAGUCCAAAAUGGGUGGUAAAUUUCAUCUAAAGCUAAAUAUUGGCGAGAGACCGAUAGCGAACAAGUACCGUGAGGGAAAGAUGAAAAGAACUUUGAAAAGAGAGUUAAACAGUACGUGAAAUUGUCAAAAGGGAAGCGUUUGACACCAGUGUUGUUUUUCUGAAAAUCAAUUAAAGAACUGUUUAUGCUAAGUUGUUUAGACUUUAUCAGCUAACUGUUUAGUUUUGAGCUUUUCUUUAAUGCACUUUUCAGUUAACAAGUCAACAUCAAUUUCUUUUGCUGUAAAAAAGCUUGAGGAAGGUGGCUUGAGAUUCGUCUUAAGUGUUUAUAGCCUCUUGCCUAUGCAGUCGGAGAGAUUGAGGUCUGCAGCGUAGAUCCUUCGGGGCUAAAUGCAUUUGUGCUAAGUUAUAGCAUUUUAUAGACAACUUGUUGACUAUGAUUUGUCUUGUAGCUUACUCGCUUAUGUUAUUUUACCUACGCUUAGGAUGUUGACAGCAGUAUAGACUGU